GCUUGUACUUUUGCAGACACCAUUUCUGUAUGUUAAGAAUUCAUUUUCCUGCACUGUCAUCUGUUCUGCCAGUUCCUGUGGCAGUCCUACAUGCCCAGAACAACUCUAUUUCUCAUGAGGUUGUGGAUCGUGGCUGUGGGUCCAUCCUGAGUUGAGUCUAGUGGUGAAGUGAUCUGUGAAUGCUAAUGGCUGACAUCUCUGGCCACCUCCUGUGGCUUAUCUGUCUUACAGGCAGUCUAAAAUGCAUCAAAUCAAUGGAUGAGACUCCUAUCUUCAAUGACUCAAGCAAGCAAACAGAUUACCUCAUGGCAAGAGGACUGUAAGGAGACAAUCUACACAUAAUUGCAUUGUGUUGUACUUCAUGUGACUGUUUUUGUCUACCAGUAUAUCAGUGUUUUAAUAUUUGCCAUUAUUUGCCAGGAAGACUAUAUGGCUGCCUGAACAAUUCAGGACAAAUUGAAGCCUUACUUUGUGAUGGGGCACAUCAUUAUUUGUAUUUUAUUUUGCAGUUUUACACCAAGUUCAAAUUGAGAUUGCCGCACACUGACAGUACCCAGGACUCUCAUAGAGGACGGUGCAAAUUGACUCAGCACUAUCCAGGGUAUAUGGAAAGGAUCUGGGACAGGAUUGUCUUACCUAGCAACAUAAGCAUGAUGUGCUUGCCCUGAUAGUCACUGUGGUAAGGCCAUUGCCAUAAACUUUAAUGGGGUGUAAAAUCUUGUUCUAUGUCAUGUUUAAAUUAUAUGAGCUAGGAUUACUUAAGCUAUUGGGGACUGUGGAUCAGAGCCCCUAAUGAUGUGCACUGUGUGCCCAGUUGCAAUCUAGCCAUGAUUACCAAAAGUUUAGAUGGCUAGCAAAACGAAGUACCAAUCUAAAACUGACAGCUAAUUUUGUAACGGACGUAAGUGAGAUACCGACAUACAUUUAAUAUUGCACUAGGGUGUAUGGUACUAUUCUGAAUUUAAGAAAUAAAGACCCAGACUGAGUUCCUACAAUAGGGGGCCCUAAGCGGCCGUAUAUGUGGCUUAUGCCUGAAGCCGGCCUGGCUGCUUUUUCAAACAAUUCAAUAAUAUAUAAUCGGGGUUUAUUGAUUCCCAGCAGCUGGCCAAAAGCCAGGGUUAGUCAUUGUCAGUUAUCCCAUUCCAACUGCACUGUUUGAAAUGUAAAGUUCAUACCUACCUAUUUUUUUGUAUGCAUUGUAAACCCAGACAUAAUUGCCCAGUCAAGUAACCUUCAAUAAAGUAACAUCUCUCAUUCUG